CGCGCAAGGGGGUAAAAUUUUGGCGCUGCAAUUGUAAAAAUUAGGCGCUCUUUUGAAUUGGACAAACUGGGGUAAAAUUAGGCGCUAGAAUUUUCAAUCGUCCAGACAGCUCUCUUUCACUCGGUCUCUCGCUUCCCUCUCUCUCACUCCGAUCGUCUUUGGCUUCCUUCAUCUGCCACUUCCUCGAGUGAUUUUCGAAGACGCCGGACAUCCACCUCAUGCAAUACAGUGCAUGAGGAAUUCCUCGCCAUUACCCACCCAUCGUUAGACGAAGACAAAGGAAUCUGUGUUUGCUUUAAUCCUAAAUUAGGGUUUUAUUUGAAGGCUCUGUGUAUAUUGAAAGCUCUGGUUGCAAAUCUGUGAUUUUUUUAAUUGGUUGCGGGGAAAAUGCAAUGGUAACUGGGCUCAGGAAAAUGGUAUGAAGGAAAGCUCUGAAAUUAGAUAUUGCUAUUAUGUGCUAGAAACUACAGUACCCUUUCGUUCCUCAUCCGCACACUUUUUACAGCUGCUUAUUAAUCACUUAUUAAUAACUUAACAUGCUUAGCAAACCACUCCUCUGCACACUUUUUACAGCUGCUUAUUAAUCACAUAUUAGUAACUUAACAUGCUUAGCAAACCACUCCUCUGCACACUUUUUACAGCUGCUUCAUCUUCAACAUUGUACCUCAUGGUCCAACUUUUGGAAGUAUCUUCACAUAGCUUGUUUUAGUUUUCAGACUACAUGCUAAUUAAUGUAAAAUAGAACUUGUGGAAAGUGGCUUGAUCUUGUGCAUAUUUAGCAUAAGCAGAACCCUUGCAAAUGAUGGCAUAUAAUUAUUAGUACAAAGAUGCAAUUCUUCUGGUGUGAUUUGAUUACUUACUAGCGUAACUGAACUUGCAAAUGAGAAAAAAGAAAUGUAUAACCAAACUCUGUAAAGCAAGCAAAUGAAAAUUACUAAAUGAGAAUUUGAAAAUAAUAAAUAAUGAUAAGAAUUUGAAAAUUACUAAAUGAGAAUUUGAAAAUAAUAAAUGAGAAUUUGCAAUGCGCCUAUGUCGUAAGAUACACUUUUAGGAUUAAUAAUUGGAUUAAGGCAGAUUUCCAUUAUAUAAAUCAUGUACCAAUUGCCAACUAGGACGACCUUUUAUGCUUUCAAACUUUCUCUCUACCUUAGCUAGCUAGCUAUGAACUUGAUGAUAUUAUCAUGAUGUCAAUCAAUUUAAUCAUUGAAUUACUGCUUUUAUUUCAAAUGGUAGCUACAAGCCAAACUUGAUGAUAUUAUCAUGAUGUCGAUCAAUUUAAUCAUUCCAUGUAGUUAAGCUUUCAAUUUGCUUUUAGAACUAUUAAAUGUAAUGAACUUUGGUAUUGCCUUUGUUACCUUAAUCUGUAUAUUGCCUUUGUUUCCUAUAUCUUCUCUGCAACCUAUUGGAGUCUAAGUGAGAAAGCAGCUCAUUUAGAACAAAGAAGGUGCGCUUUACCACAAGGAUAUUUGUCUUGCAAAGUAAUACUUUCCCAUCCAAAAGUUUGAUGUCGCAGUUGAUCACUUGUUGUCGAAGUGUGACCAAUGCGCCUCUCGCAUGAUCAGCAUCUACUGCUCCAGGCGUGAGUGCUCCAUUGAUUGGGAAGCCUACACCCUUUACUGAGGCUGCUCCUAUGGCGUCCUAGGUGCCCAUAUCAUCGACGUCAUCAGUGUCGGUUCAAUUGCUCAGUGCAUGGCGGCCUUAUCGGCACUGUCGUGAGCCGGAGCCUUUUGAUCACACUUCCUCGACAUUCAAAGUCAAGGGUGGGGCCUCCCAGCCAGCUAAAAGAAACACCAGGGGGCCUAAUUGAAUGCUGAAGCCGGCAUAGAGCGUAUGUUUGUCCGCCUCCUUGAUGAAGAUUGCGUAUGACUCGCGACAUCGUGGAGUGGCUACCUCAUAGCAACAUAGCAGCGUCGCUACUAGCUGUGGUUAUGUUAUUCAACAUUGUUGUCCUGUGCAAUUGUAGUUUUUUAUUUUUUGUUCGGACAUAUUGUAUGUACAUUUUCAUAUAUUUUAUAAUUAAAUACUUUUUCUUGGUU